rnacentral:sRNA from 1 species
UCGUAUUUGAGAACGAAGUAACGUGA